rnacentral:lncRNA from 1 species
UUUGAAUCUUUUCAGUUUAUAUUGAUAUUGAAAUUAUUGGUUUCAGGCGCUCUAAUCUCCUCAAUCGAUUCCCUUUUUUCAGCUGCAAACCAAAGCGAUUAAUAUUGGUUUCAGGCGAUUGUACGAACGCUAUAGAGAGUUAAACUAGUGAGUUUCUCUUCUUUUGUUUGGUUAAUUUGAUUUUGUUCUGGAAUUUGGAUUUAUAUGCACGAAGGAGUGUGAUUUGAGUUCAAUUGGAUAACGAUUGCUGCAAGUGAGUUUGAUUUUCUCUUCUUCUUUUUUGGGGUAAAUUGGCUAGCUAUGUUUGAAAAUUUGUGUGGAGUUAUUACAGAUGUGUUUGUGAGAUUUCUUCAUAGAGUUGAAAAGUAAGAAUGUGAAGAGGAGUGAGAUAUAUAUGAAACUUUUGGUUGUUUUAUUUUUUAAUUUUUUAGAGAGGGUCUCUUGAUUGUAUAUCUGCUUUGACAUGUAUGUUCCUGCUGCAUUUUAUGUUGUGCUUUUCUUCCAGCUUCUUGUGUUUUGCUUGGAAGAAUAUGAAAGAGAGUGAAUCAUGCAUGUUUGCUUCAAAAUGUACAAAUUUGAAACUGAAAUAUCUUAAGGGAAUGUGAAAACAUGAGUAGAACGUCGCCUAGUAUUGAUUUGAAACUGAGUUUGAUCAGAAACAUGCUGAAAUGAAUUUUGAGCAGCACUAUCAAAAGGACAGUUUCAUCUUUCCAUCAUGCUAGAGUAGUUUAGAAUUUAAAGUUGUUUCCUUGUGCAAGAAAAACCAGCCUUCGUCAUUUCGGACAGAGGAAAGUAAAUGGUUUCUUAUCCACAUGAUUAGGACUUUCUAGUGUCAAAUAUUGAACCAAAGCUGAUAGAAAAUUGUAUUUGCCCCUAUUUUGGUGAAAAUGUUCUUUUCUUUUCUGGUUGUCUGCUUUCUUAUGGACGUAAUACAAUUUUUUGUUAUGUUUGAAGAGCAGGACCAAUAAUAUCAUGCAAAGUAAUAGUAACUACUGCAGCCUCUUCCGUUUCAAUCAUAGCUAAGUAAUUGGUGAUUAUUUCUCUGUUUUGGUGGUAAACAAAUGCCUCGAUACAAAGAUGAGCCUCCUGCUAUUCGUGUUUACACAGUCUGUGACGAAUCAAGUAUUUGAUAGUGAGGAAUGUUCCAUCUUAAGGCAGGGUUUAUGAUUGUCGAGCUCUUACUUACAGGCAAGACGUCAAGGCAAGAGAUAUUGAAGAGUAUAAAAAGCGCAAGCUUCCAAUGCACCAGGUUCAUUGACAGCUACACCAAGGACUGGAAACUCAAGUUACUAGUAUUUUUAUCUUAUAAUAAAGUGCUAUUUUUUUCUUUUUUCGUUUUACUGUAUCUACAAA